GACGAACGCUGGCGGCGUGCCUAAUACAUGCAAGUAGAACGCACAGUUUAUACCGUAGCUUGCUACACCAUAAACUGUGAGUUGCGAACGGGUGAGUAACGCGUAGGUAACCUGCCUGGUAGCGGGGGAUAACUAUUGGAAACGAUAGCUAAUACCGCAUAAUAUUGAUUAUUGCAUGAUAAUUGAUUGAAAGUUGCUAUUGCAUCACUACCAGAUGGACCUGCGUUGUAUUAGCUAGUAGGUGAGGUAACGGCUCACCUAGGCGACGAUACAUAGCCGACCUGAGAGGGUGAUCGGCCACACUGGGACUGAGACACGGCCCAGACUCCUACGGGAGGCAGCAGUAGGGAAUCUUCGGCAAUGGACGAAAGUCUGACCGAGCAACGCCGCGUGAGUGAAGAAGGUUUUCGGAUCGUAAAGCUCUGUUGUAAGAGAAGAACGGGUGUGAGAGUGGAAAGUUCACACUGUGACGGUAGCUUACCAGAAAGGGACGGCUAACUACGUG
rnacentral:rRNA from 1 species